CCAACAUCACACAUCAAUGUAUUUGGUCAUUGGUUAUUCAAUGUGCCAAGUAGAGCCAGGGACCAGAGGUUGAAUAAUCCCCUCCCAAGGGCUCAGAGCAUGCUAUGAGAAAACCAUUAGGUAUAGUGGUUGCUGGGGUGUAGGGGGUGGCCCAGUGGACCAAAGGGAUUUAUACAAAGUUGGUCAGAAGAAUUCCCAGAAGUGGAGCAAUUGAGCUCAGUCUUAUUUUUUUUUAAGAUUUUAUUUAUUUAUUCAUGAUAGACACACACACACAGAGAGAGAGAGAGGCAGAGACACAGGCAGAGGGAGAAGCAGGCUCCACGCAGGGAGCCCGACGUGGGACUCGAUCCCGGGUCUCCAGGAUCGCGCCCCGGGCCAAAGGCCGGCACCAAACCGCUGAGCCACACAGGGAUCCCCAAGCUCAGUCUUAAAAUAGGAGUGGCAUCUUGCCAGGUGACAAAAGCUGGGGGCUGUAGGCCUCCUGACCUUGUAAAAUCUCCCUUGUGAUAUAAUACCUUGUAAUAUAUAUAUGACCGAGCAUAAAUGAAUUCUAAUAUAUAUUUAAUCUUUUUGCUUUGAUCAUUAAGUUUAAAAUUUUAAAAUUAAACAAGCAAGAGAUCAUUAUUAAAAAAUUCUUAAAAUUACAGAAACAAAAAUAAUAACUAUUUUGGUUUACAUAUCUCAGAUUCUUUUUUUUCUGCACAAAGAACUGUGUAUGUAUCAACCUAGCAAGACGUCAGGAGCAUUCUCCUAUGUCAACAAACAUGGACGUUCAACACAUUUCCAAUGCUUGCAGAGUGGUAAAUCCUGUGGUUGCACCACAGUAUAUUUGGCCAAUACCCUGCUGGUGGACAUUAGGGCCAUUUACUGAACAACUCUGCAGCUAUGUCAGGCUGAGCUGGAGAAUGGGGCCGAGAUACACGCAGCUGGGGACAAGCCAGCAGAAAAGCUGAGAACCCUGGUAUUCAAAGAGAGGAAGUGCUGUGUUGUCUCAGGAGCCAGCAUGAGAUGCUGCACCUAUGCUUCGACCUGUCACUGGUCGCAUUCCUUUCCUUAAGAGAAGAAUGGGAACUGAGUAGGUGUUUCUUUCUUUUUUGCAAAGAGUCCCCAAUGCUUCUGGGUAUUCAAGGUGGUGGGUUUAUUUCACUAUUUAACAAAUAAUUAAGUAUUUCCUUAUUUGAUCUAUGUUUGAAUUUGGUUUCUGAAUUUGGUUUCUGAAUUUAAUAUCUUUAAUACUUUAUUCAAGUAAUAUGCAUAUAUAUUUUGUUAAUAGAUAAUUUGAUUAUUGCGAAUAAUGCUGAAGUCCCUCCUUUGCUAACUCCCAUUUCCCAUUCUCUUUUCCAGGGUGGAUUGCUGUGAUCAAAAUUAUAUAUGUAUUCCUUUGAUUUUUUAUACAUAUGUUUGUAUACAUGAAUGUACCUGUAAAAUUAUGUAGUAUUUUUGCAUUUUAAUUUUUUUUACAUACAUGGAAUCUAGUGUACCUACUGUCUGAAAAUUUCUUUUUUCACUUAACAACAUAUCUUAGAGAGCUUUCUAUGUCAGUAUAGAGAAAUCUCAUUUUUUUUUUAAGAUUUUAUUUAUUUAUUCAUGAGAGACACAAAGAGAGAGAGAUACAGAGGCACAGGCAGAGGGAGAAGCAGGCUCCAUGCAGGGGCCCGAUGUGGGACUCGAUCUUGACACCCCAGGAUCACGCACUGAACCGAAGGCAGAUGCUACUGCUGAGCCACCCAGGCGUCCCUCAUUAUUUUCUAUAACAUGGAUGUGCAAUAGUAUAUGUAAUAAUUUAUCUAUUUAAAGACAUUAAGGUCAUUUCCAAGAUUUUGUAUUCCAAAUAGAAUGGCCACAAACAUCUUUACAUGUGAUUUGUGCACAUAUGUGAAUGUUUCUGUAGAUUUCAUACAGAAAAAUGGAAUGGUUUUGUCAAAACUCUGGAACUUUUUUUUUUGCCUAUUU
rnacentral:lncRNA from 12 species